ACGUUAGCGGCGGACGGGUGAGUAACACGUGGGUAACCUACCUAUAAGACUGGGAUAACUUCGGGAAACCGGAGCUAAUACCGGAUAAUAUUUCGAACCGCAUGGUUCGAUAGUGAAAGAUGGUUUUGCUAUCACUUAUAGAUGGACCUGCGCCGUAUUAGCUAGUUGGUAAGGUAACGGCUUACCAAGGCGACGAUACGUAGCCGACCUGAGAGGGUGAUCGGCCACACUGGAACUGAGACGACGGUCCAGACCUCCGUACGGGGAGGCAGCACGGC
rnacentral:rRNA from 1 species